CUACAGCUAUGACUGUCACCAAUUUUAAUCAGUGUCACAACCUUUCAUACUAAAUCUAGAACUUAGAAAACUUCAACUUCCAUCUGUAAGCAUGGGCAGUAGCAGGAAAAACUGUGGCUGAGGGGAAGAGAGAAAAAAGCCCCUCACUGGAGGACCUCUAUCUUGCUCAGCCUUCUCUAGGGGAACAGGAUGCUGCCUUUGCUACUGCCUGGGAAUACAUUGUCAGCCUCACUGCUGGCUGGACCUGGGGAUGCAGCAGCCUCGCUUGUUUCAGAUCACUGUGUAGGCAUUUCACCUUGGAAGUGAUUCUUAGCUAAGCAACUGAUUGGAAGUACAGAAAUAUUCAUUCUCUACAUAUACAGUGUGAUGACAACUGCAGUGUCUGAAAUGAUUGCUGGCGUCACAAGCCUGUUGACCCAAAGACAAAAUUCACCAGGCUGCUGCUGUCGUUUGAAAGAUAGAGGUUAUGGAGGAGGAGGGGAGGAAAAACAACCGAUGCAGGACACAAAACUUAAUGAACCUGAAGGAAAAGGAUCCAUCAGCCAAAGCAACACAUUCCUGCUAGCAGACACUGCCACCUGUUGGAGAACAGCUUCGGAGGCCGAGCAGAAAAGAGGAUGGUCCAUCUUUUCCAUAAAUUUUCAGUCUUGGUUCUAUACUUCCCUUUAUGUCAAAAGAGUCAAACAGUUUUAAUUUUUAAGCUAACUUCCAGCACAGAAAAAAAGGAUAUUUACAAAAGGAUCCCUAAACGAGUUUGCUUGGUUUUUUCCUCAGUUUCUUAAAAAGCAAGAUAUACUUUUACAGUCCGUUUAUCUUGACUGUUUCUACUAUUUUGGAACUUGUUAGCCAAUUUCAAUCAAAUUUUACACAGAAGAAAUCUCUCUGAUAACAUCAUCUCAACUUGUUUCCUGAAAAUUAGCAGCUGAGAAGAUUACCCAUGUUCAAAUCCAUGCUUCAUUUUGAGAGACUGAAGGAGGAACUUGGCUAUGACUCUUCUCGGCUGAUAGCAGCCCGUCAACCAGUAUGGAUGUGGGUUUCCACUAGUCACUGCAAAUAGUCUUUCUUACUCCAGACCACUGUGCUGACCUCAGAUACGCAAGGACAGGACAGAGGAGGCUCAUUGCGGUAGAAAAUGGAUCACAGGUCCAUUGGAUGCAAACAUAAUUGGCUCUGCUACUCUUUUGGUGGCUUGUCUUGCCAAUACAAAGAGACAGAGCCCACAAUAAAACUAAAUACUUUCCACUCUUUGGAAGUGUUUUGUAUAUAUCAUGCAUGAAACAAAAUUACAAAAGAUACUGGCUUAGAGUUUUCCAAUGUGUUUUAUCUGAAGUCUGACACCAAACUAGUUAAUCAGAUUUAAAGAAAAAAAAAAAUCUAUCUAUAAUGCAAUAAAACUGAGCUAUUGUUAAAAAAAAUCUUACCACAUCUGUUGAGACAGAAACAACAGAUUCUGUUAUUUUCGCUGUCCUUUUUGCCCUUCUUACCAGAGGAGGGUUUGGGUUUAUUCUCCCUUUUUAAACAAGCUCCCCAGUUUCAAUUCCACUUUGACAGAGGCAGAGAUAUCGGGUUCUUGGAAGAGUCCUGACUAUAGGUGUACAAAGACAGCCUCAAUACCUACUUCGUGGAGGGCCAGGCUGCAGCCAGAGCUCAGCCACACCAUUAGACACAAGGGGCUGCGCAGGAAGCCAGAUGUCAGUCAGCAGCUACAAAAAUCUGCAGUUGCACACUGCUGCCUGCUAUGACUGGUGAGCAUUUUAUCUCACAGUGCAGUUUGUAGCUGCAACCCGUUGUGAAAUCCCUCUUCUGAUCUGCCUUUUUCUGUUUUUAUGAAAAAGUCUCCGCACUGACAUUGGAUCUCCCUCCAUCUCUCAGACAGGGAACUGUGCAGUUUCAUAUCAUGCCAGAAAACUUCUGUACAGCCGCUGGGGGCAGUGAUGCCAAGGGGUAGGUUUCAAAGAAGCCUGCCCAUCGCUGGCCAGUUGAACUACUUUCCAACCUUAUAGGAUGCUCUCUACCAUCACCAUAAAGAAGACUGUGAGGACAUUGCCUUCAUAAGGUCAGAAGCAUUUAUAUGUUGCCCUUGUACAGCAAAAGGGAAUAAGGCAAGAGACAGUCAUUCAAUGUCUCUCCCAGAACAAUCUUUCCCAGUAAGCCUUCCCUUCCACCCAGCUGUCUUUGCUAGGCUGGUACUUCUUUGUCAUCUCUCUCUUGCACCCCAUCCCCAUCUGCAUUUGUGCAAAACUGGAUCUUGAUGUGAAGAGCAGUGGAGACUGAAACGUUAAUAACUCCAAAGAGAGUUACUGGGGCUGUGAAUGAAAAAUGACAGAGAAGAAGUUGCAAUGAGUGUCACACAUGAGAUUCAGUGCUGGAAGGGGCAGAGUAAAAUGUUAAUUGUACAGUAUACGAAAUUUUGCUUUCAGGGGCCAUGUCUCCUCCUUCCUUCCUUCUUAGCUUAUUUGAAAAGCAGGAGCAGCAGCAUGUUAAGCUGCAGAGGAUGCUGGAGAAAGGAAGACUUUGACGUAGUCAUAUCAGAGACAGCACCCUCAGCAAGGCAGACGCUAAGAGACACCGUGGUCUUUCUCUGCUGAUGAUGUUCCUCUCCAGCAAGAAAGGUGAGACAAGAGAAUAUAUCGAGCCUUAUGCCUUAGCUGAAAAAUGCUGGAACCUCACUGGUUAGAAGCUACGAGCCCAGGAUCUGAAAAUGUCAGAAGAACACCACAUAUCUCUAAAUCAGUACAGGCUGUACUAGUCUUUAAAUGCAGUAAGAUGUGUUAAACAUCACAGAUAACUGACUAGCUAGUUAUUUCAAUCUUCUGUGGUGAAAUACGACAGUAGCUACACUCAGCUGAAGUUCACAGAUAAAUUCAAAACCCAAGCCGAAUCUUGCAACAGCUAUUCUAGAUUGGAUCCAAUCAGAACAGCACUUGUUACAAUUCUGUUGGCAGCCAGGGAUCAGAAGAACAACUGAUCUGAAACUAUUUAUCCUGCUUCAGCUUAAAGUCUGAAGCAUCUUAGGGAAGGAUGCUCUUAAAACUCCUGUUGUUAGAGUGGCUACUAUUCAGCAUCUCUGAAUUAAGGCUUGAACACAAAAUAAUUUUCCACUCCCUGCAGAUUCAAAAAAAACUUGCUCCCACCUACCAGGGGAGAAUGUUCUCAAAUGUCAUCUUGUGCAAAGAGAACAAAAGCUGGACAUUUUCUAGUCUUAUUAGACAAAGGGAUUGCUCACUGCACAAGAAGAACACAGAAGGUAAUUUAUUCCACCCUUGAAAAGCUAGUCUCAUCAGAGACAGAAAUUCAGAAUAACUUUUUUUUUUUUUUCAGUUGACAUCUUUAAAGAAUGCUACAACUUUGGUGAGUCAACAAGAGUGAAUCAAUAAUUUCAUUUUCCUGGGAAAAGAAAAAGCAUUACUCCUUUGGAAUUUCUGUAGCAGAACCAAAAACAGAUACUAAUUCAUUGAGCUGAAGAAUGCUGUUUGGAAUAUAUGACACCUAAAGGCUUGCCUGAAUCCUUGUCCAGUCCAGAUACUGACAGAAGAACAUACUGGGGUGAUGCUAAGUUUCCAGCAUUCCAUUAAGAAGUGACAAAUAACAUGAUCCCAGUCAAGACAAGAAGUAAUUUAGCCCUUUGCAGUUCUAACAACCUGAAGGCAGGUAGUCUCUCUCUGAGAUGAUGCCCCUGAAAACAAGUCAAGCAAAGCCAAUUCAAUCUAUCAUGGUCUUACUGAGCUGCCUAUAGCACUGUUCCAGACUGCACUCUUCUGCAAGCCUUAGCAUCUUUCAUCUGCUGACUUGCUCUCAAUGUCAAUGGUAUAGAUGCCUUGGCCAGGAAAAUGGAUCAUGGCAAGAAUUUCUCCUCUGGCCUCAGGAUAUCUCAUGAAAUUGGCCAA